GUGCCAGCAGCCGCGGUAAUACGUAGGUGGCAAGCGUUGUCCGGAAUUAUUGGGCGUAAAGCGCGCGCAGGCGGGAUGGUAAGUCUAACUUAAAAGUGCGGGGCUCAACCCCGUGAGGGGUUAGAAACUACCAUUCUUGAGUACAGGAGAGGAAAGUGGAAUUCCCAGUGUAGCGGUGAAAUGCGUAGAUAUUGGGAGGAACACCAGUGGCGAAGGCGACUUUCUGGACUGUGUCUGACGCUGAGGCGCGAAAGCCAGGGGAGUGAACGGGAUUAGAUACCCCGGUAAUCCUGGCCGUAAACGAUGGGUACUAGGUGUAGGAGGUAUCGACCCCUUCUGUGCCGGAGUUAACGCAAUAAGUACCCCGCCUGGGGAGUACGGCCGCAAGGUUGAA
rnacentral:rRNA from 1 species